AUUGAACGCUGGCGGCAGGCUUAACACAUGCAAGUCGAGCGAGCGGCGGACGGGUGAGUAAUGUCUGGGAAACUGCCUGAUGGAGGGGGAUAACUACUGGAAACGGUAGCUAAUACCGCAUACCAUCAGAUGUGCCCAGAUGGGAUUAGCUAGUUGGUGGGGUAAGGGCUCACCAAGGCGACGAUCCCUAGCUGGUCUGAGAGGAUGACCAGCCAAACUGGAACGGAGACACGGUCCAGACUCCUACGUGAGGAAGCAGUGGGGAAUAGUGCACAAUGGGCGCAAGCCUGAUGCAGCCAUGCCGCGUGUAUGAAGAAGGCCUUCGGGUUGUAAAGCACUUUCAGCGGGGAGGCGUUACUCGCAGAAGAAGCACCGGCUAACUCCGUGCCAGCAGCCGCGGUAAUUC
rnacentral:rRNA from 1 species